AUUUUAAAUACGUAAGAUUAAUGACGUUAAAAUACGUUUAAAAGACGUUUUUAUUUCAGCCAGCCUAAGUCUGACGUCACGAAAUUGGGAGGAGCUUGGAGCUUAAAAGUUACAAAACUAAGGUUAUGUUUGUAUCGUUGUCGUUUGUUUGUCCUAGUCCUAGUAUUUUGCCUAUUUUGGAUUCAUUUUGAUUUUGUUGGCUGUUUUGUGUGUAUUUUUUAAAACUUUUGUUUGUCAUUUGUAAAUUUUAUAAAUUUACCACAAUGCAAAGUGAUUACCUAUUUAAGGAAAUUAUUAUUGGAAACUCCGCAGAUGUUUUAGAAAGAUAUUCAUUGAAGCUGAAAAUAAUUGGAGAUUUAGAUCCAUAUACAAUUCAGUCAUCAGAAUUGGAUUUUACAGUGCAUUCCAUCAAUUACUGUUAUAAUGCUAUUAUAGAUAGAUUGGUAGAGUCUCACAGUUACUACUUUAAGUAGCAGAUGAAAGCAUACAAAAGCCUUCACAACUGGAUUUGUUGUGAAACAUUUGAUGUUUUGAUGAUUUUUAUAUUAUUGUUGGAAAGGUGAAGAAUUCCCAAAAAGCUAAUGCUAAACCACUAGAUGCUUGGGUGAUAGCCAGUUCCAAUGGCAUAGCAAAUGCACAUUGUAUGUGUAUUGCCGGUAAUAGUGAAGUUUGCAGCCAUAUUGCAGCAAUCUUAUUUGCAGUUGAGUAUGCCCACAGCAAGACAGAAGAAGAAGAACCCAAUGCAUGUACAUAUGUUAGAGCUAUGUACAUUCUCUGGUAAAAAACUAAUGAGUUUUCAAGCUGUUCAGUCAGAGUGCUUGUUGCGCUCUCUAAACGAACUAAAAUAUAAGACGGCUUUGGCUUCAUGUUGCAGCGAUAUGAAAAUGGUUAGUCAUUUUUAAUUAUAAUGUACUUCUUUAUCAUGAGUAUUUAUGUAUACGCUCUGAGCUUCGCUGGUGGCGCUCCUAGCAGAUUACUAAUUCAACUUUCACCGGUAAUUUUUAAAUUUAUUAUUCAAUUGUUAUCGCUUAACAUUUACAACGCAAAAAUGUAAUUAAAUUGUAAUCGAUUUUUUUAAGAUUUUGCUAAACAUUUUGACGUUCUAUUGAUAAAAUAUGAAUUUCUUACUUCGGAUACUUUCACAACUAUCGUGUAGAUGGCGCUAAGAUUUUUAGAUUAAAUUAUAAUUACAUAUUACGGAACAUUAAAAAAACUUAAAUUCAGUAUUUAAAACGUAAGUAUAUUUAAGGUAAAAAUAUAUACCACAGCUUUGACCAACUAAUAUUUUUUAUAAUUAAUGUUUUUAAUUUUAAUUUUAAAUUAAUCACUUUGACAUUUAUGUCAAAUUUCCGGUAAACGUUUACAGACUUGCCAAUACUGGUGCUCGCGAAUUUGUAAAUAUCCCCUCUACGUACGAGCUCACAGCGUAUCGGGCUUUUCAUUCACAGUCAUUUGUUUCGAGCUUCUGUCAUGGGUCACAUAAUAUUAAUAUUAUAUCUACGUCAUACGUUAUUGGUAUACCAAUGAUACACAUCAAAGACAUAUCGCGUAGAUAUAUUAAUAUUAUGUGACACAUGACAGAUACUCGAAACAAAUGACAGUCGAUAAAAAGCCCUAUUAGUCUUUUAAGUGUGUAUUAUCAGAUAUCACAUGUAAAUUGUUUUUAUCAUUUUAAUUUGGUUAUUACAGUCCCUUAAUCAAAAAAUAUAUUUUUCAGGUGUCUGUGGAUCGUUUUGUAUGCAAAAAUUUGUAAUAAUUAUUUGAAAUCAUUUUGAGGAUUAUAAGAGUAUGGAAAUAUAAAUGUGAGAACACAGACUAUUAUAGUUUUGUCCUAUUUUUUAUCAUUCAAUCGUCUUCUUUAAAAUUUAUAAAUAUAAAGCAGAUAGUUUUCAUUGAAAUUCAAUAUAUUGGGUCUUAUUUGUAUGUAUUAAUUUUUGACUAAAGGUACGAUUCCGAUAACGACUGCAGACAGCAACUGCAAACAUCAGUUGCAGUUCUCGGCGUUAUGGACGUUACUACUUUGCACUAUUUAUCUGUAUGAGACUGAUUCCGACAUCUGACUGCAACUGCUGUCAGGCAGAACGUCAGUUGCUAAUAAUUAUGCAAAUUAUUAGUGCAAAAUAAUGACGUCUGUCAUGGUGACAACUGUAACUGCCAUCUGCAGUCGUUGUCGGAAUCGUACCUUUAAAGUGUGUGGUAUAAUUAUAAUAAUUAUAUAUAUUAUAUAACUUAAAUGGUUUAAACUUAAGUUUGUUAUUACAUUGUGACUUAAAUGUUUAAUUUGUUAAUAAAUGAUUUAUUAGUUUA
rnacentral:lncRNA from 1 species